GUUAUCGCUGGGCCCACGUCCGCGGUAAUGCAAGUGUGCGGUGCGUUUGUCGGAAUACCGGGUGGAAAAGGGUGCGAUGUCGGGGUGUUAAUGCAGGUGUGAAACCCUUGAGCUCAACUCCAGAACUGCCUUGGAUACUGAAGAUCUUUAGUUCGGGAGAGGUGAGUGGAACUGCGAGUGUAGAGGUGAAAUUCGUAGAUAUUCGCAAGAACACCAGUGGCGAAGGCGGCUCACUGGCCCGAUACUGACGCUGAGGCACGAAAGCGUGGGGAGCAAACAGGAUUAGAUACCCCAGUAGUC
rnacentral:rRNA from 1 species